AGUGGCGGACGGGUGAGUAACGCGUGAGAAUCUGCCUUGGGGUCGGGGACAACCACUGGAAACGGUGGCUAAUACCGGAUAAGCCGAUCGGUGAAAGAUUCAUUGCCCGAAGAGGAGCUCGCGUCUGAUUAGCUAGUUGGUGAGGUAAGAGCUCACCAAGGCAGCGAUCAGUAGCUGGUCUGAGAGGACGAUCAGCCACACUGGGACUGAGACACGGCCCAGACUCCUACGGGAGGCAGCAGUGGGGAAUUUUCCGCAAUGGGCGAAAGCCUGACGGAGCAAGACCGCGUGAGGGAGGAAGGCUCUUGGGUUGUAAACCUCUUUUCUCAGGGAAGAAGCUCUGACGGUACCUGAGGAAUCAGCCUCGGCUAACUCCGUGCCAGCAGCCGCGGUAAUACGGAGGAGGCAAGCGUUAUCCGGAAUUAUUGGGCGUAAAGCGUCCGCAGGUGGCGAUUCAAGUCUGCUGUCAAAGCACGGGGCUUAACUCCGUAAAGGCAGUGGAAACUGAAUAGCUAGAGUGCCGUAGGGGUAGAGGGAAUUCCCGGUGUAGCGGUGAAAUGCGUAGAGAUCGGGAAGAACAUCGGUGGCGAAAGCGCUCUACUGGACGGCAACUGACACUCAGGGACGAAAGCUAGGGGAGCGAAUGGGAUUAGAUACCCC
rnacentral:rRNA from 1 species